UGACAUUACUUCACGAAUAAGGAGCUGCUAAUCUCGUGCCAGAAGCAUCGGUCAUACGGGAGCUCCAAGCGUUAUCCGGAAUUAUUGGGCGUAAAGGGUGUGUAGGCGGGUUUAAUAGUCAGAUGUUAAAUCACAGAGCUUAACUUUGUGGCUGCAUCUGAAACGUUAAAUCUAGAGGCAGGCAGAGGCUAGCGGAACUCAUGGUGUAGCAGUGAAAUGCGUUGAUAUCAUGGGGAACACCAAAGGCGAAAGGCAGCUAGCUGGGCCUUGUCUGACGCUGAGGCACGAAAGCGUGGGGAGCGAAUGGGAUUAGAUACCCCAGUAGUCCACGCCGUAAACGAUGUGCGCUCGGCAUUGGGAGUUUCGACCCUCUCAGUGUCUAAGCUAACGCGAUAAGCGCACCGCCUGGGAAGUACGGCCGCAAGGCUAAAACUCAAAGGAAUAGACGGGGAUCCGCACAAGCGGUGGAGCAUCUGGUUUAAUUUGAUAGUAAGCAAGGAACCUCACCAGGACUAGAAAUCUAGCUGCAUCCCGAUAGAAAUAUUGGGAGCCUUCGAGGGUGCUAGACAGGUGUUGCAUGGCCGUCGUCAGCUCGUGCUGUAAAGUGUUCCAUUAAGUUGGGUAACGAGCGCAACCCCUACUGUGUGUUACAUGUGUCACACGGAACUGCCC
rnacentral:rRNA from 1 species